rnacentral:lncRNA from 1 species
GCUUUCUUCAGGAUCGCUGCUAUCUUUGCCUCAUGGGAGCUUUGCAGCUUGACCUUGGGGGUGCACCAGCUGGUCCUGCUGGCACUGGGAAAACAGAGACUACCAAAGAUCUGGCAAAAGCUCUUGCCAUCCAGUGUGUGGUCUUUAACUGUUCAGAUGGUUUGGACUACAAGUGAUGGGGCGCUUCUUCAGUGGCUUGGCACAGUCAGGGGCCUGGUGCUGCUUUGAUGAAUUUAAU